GCUGGCUGCCAUGAGGGAGGGUUUUUACCUGGAGAUCCCCCCUUUCGGAGUAUUUGGCCAGCCCUGAUCCUUGAGACAGGUGCUGUCUAGCAAGAGCAAGGGAAUAACCACUAAUGUCUCAGCUCUGCUGCUAUAAGAUCUUCACAGUAUAUAGCCCUGGUAAUGUCAGACAUGGAAAGAGGAGGACUGAACUUCAUAUGGUACAUUUCUGACCUGUCUUCACUGAGAAGCAAGAAGUAAUUUCCACUGUGAUGCAGCAGUUUUCAAAAAGAACUUUGAAAUUUUUGAAGUGAAGCUGGGUUGUGCUCUUGAUAGAGCUGAAGACCUUGGAGCCCACUAUCUCUGUAAGUACCAGUUUGUAUACUGCAAUGGAACUGCCGGGUCACAGCCUAAACCAAUGCUUGAGCUUGGCUAAACCAGGGAGCUCAGGUGCAAGCAAUACACCUGAGUGAUCAGAAGAGGUGGAGCCAGGACCCACCCCUCCUCACCCUCAUUUAAGGGUUAGCAGCCCUUAGGAAGAUUGCAUUUCUCUUGAGUUGUCACUGAUCAGCAGAAGGGUGAAGUUCACAAGAUUUAUGUUCUGAAGAAUAAAAAAUGAAAACGUGGGAGUCAACUUGCCUAACAGCCGCAUCUUCAAAAUACAAAAGUUGACAUGAGAGUUUAGAAGAAAUAUUCAUAAAGCAAUCAUGUUACUUUUAAGAAAAAUAUUUCUCGAUUGUAAAGCAGUGGAAUCUCACGACAGUCCUUCUAAGAAUGACACUGAAGUAUUCCCAGAGCAGAAAGCAUCAAGUACGUUCACUGUUUUGGAGUGCAUAAGUAAGCAAACUGUAUUGUCAGAGUUAAAAGAAUCAUAGAAUCAUAAAUGUUGGAAAACACCAUAAAGAUCAUGAAGUCUGACCAUCUAAAAGAAGAGUGCGCCUUUUUCUCCAGAGAGAUAUUUGAACUCCAUUGGAUGCUUCUGGAAUCUAGAUGAGAAUGAUCUUUACUGCAUAUUACAGAAUAACGUGGAAAAAAAAACUGGUAGGAAAACAUCCAAGUAACCUACUUACUAUUUUUCAACAGUAAGAAACACAGGACAGCUUUUCUCCCUAAAAGAUCCUUUUUCAAUUUUUAAAGGGUACAGCAUUCCUUUGUUUUCAUUCCACGGUAUUCUUCAAAACAGUUCGAUUAAAGAAAAUGCACCUAUUUCAAGGGAGUAAAGAUGUGAACUUCAGCAGUUUGAGAAGUAAGCAAAAAUCAAGUGGAAACACAUUCUAAGAUACGAGCUACAGCCUAUAAAGUAACAGGAGCCUGUAAAGAUGAAAAUCCUUAAAUGAUGUAUAGAGCAAAAUUCAGAGCUCCAGCUGCAUCUACAGUCGUAAAAUCUGUGAUCUUUUCUCAAAAUAAUGAACUUCCAUUCUCUGCACAGGCUCAGCACGCAGUGACUUUCUUAUUUGUACUCAUGAGACAACGUCUUCGGGGCCGACGCUGUCUAUCUGGGCAGAAUUAUGUCAAGAAAUCUUGGCACAGUGGGAUUCUCAUUAUAGCUGAGUCUGUGGACUUAUUGCGAGACAAAAUAGUUAAAAAUAUAUCAAAAAAAAAAACAACACUUUAGAAACAGCUACUGAUAUUUCAUAGUACUUUAAAAGAGGCUUUAAGGAGAAUCAGAUGAUGACAGGAGGAAAGUCAAUUAAGUAACACAACCAUGCUGUAACAAGCAUGAGAAACUUUACUCCAGAGUUAGGUAACUUCAAACAGCAAAAGAACAGUGAGGCACUCUGACAUUUUCAGUCUCUGCUAGGGCAGAUAUAGAAGAGAAAAGAACAGUGAGGUUUUAAGGAGGAAAAAGAUGUCAUAAAGAAAGAACUAGAAUGUUCAUGACCCGACCAACUUAGGCAUCCUGAAGACGGUAACUCAGAGCCUGUGGAUUUGGAAAAUUGAGUGUAUUGAUACUAACGCAUGGAGACAUGAACAAAGCAAGUGUAGUGUCAACACUCAUUUUUUCAUCUGUCUAUUACCCUUUCCUUUUGUAACUGAAGGAGUGUUUCUAGGGAUGGCCUUUAUGAAGGCAUACUCCCCAAACACUCUGAAAUUCAAGACCUACUCAGUAUCUCUCCAAGCCUAAAUUUCCCUCUAAAUAAUAAGGUGGCCCUUGAUGUGAGACACAAAAAUUGAAGGGAACAAGUACCUAAAUCUGGUCCUAAACAGUCCUUUAAAAGCUUUUAAAGAAUAAAAUCCAUGAAAUCAAAUAGUAACUUUGUGCUUUUUCACCUUCUCAGCUGUACACGUAAGAUAUAGCAUAACCUUGCAUUAAUAAUGAAAUCCAGGCAGUUUUAUACCUUCUUAAUAAUGUAUGCCAAAUAUAUUUGGGUUUAGGAAGGACGGUAUUCAUUUAUUGAUCAUGAUGCAUUAUCUCCACCCUAGAAACUUCUAAGAAGCUUUCAUCUCCUGUGCAAUUCUAAAUAAUUCAGGAUGUAAUUUCAGUUGGGUUAUUUUGUAUCUAUUUUUUUCUUAUUAAAAUUGUAUUUUUUAAUCAAAAGAAAAGCUGACAGACUUUUGGCAAAGAGUCAAAAGAGCAUCUCAAGUUACUCAAAAAGUCCUAGUGAAAUCAUCUUGAAAAGUCCCAAGAGCAAGGAUAUUACUGUCUGAUUCUUAGUUUUCAGAACACCAACCUUUCUACCCACUGUAUUUGUAUAGUGUUACAUCUAUUUUUAAUAGUGAUUAUAAUAACAGUAGCAAAUAACUUUGAGUUCUUAAAAGGACAUAUUCAUAGAACAAUUUCUUUAAAAUUAUUUGUUCGUUUUGCAUUAAGAUUGGAACAGUUCAUCCCUGCCAAUUCUCAGCAUGAAAACAGGAGGUUUGUUCAGCUUUCUAAGUUGAAAAGUAAAUUUAAGUAUGCAAGAAGGAACUACUAAUUUCUACUGCAGAUCUGCAUUCACUCCAAGGGUGAUUUCUUGUGUAAGGCACUGACAAACUAUGUGGUUUAGAGAUUUAUGGGCUUAUCAAGGGGAGUAUUUUAAUAUUAACAGAUUUCCAGCAAGGUUAGAUUUUUAUUUUGCUUGCCUAUAAUUAGCAGGGAUGAGAGAAGGAUGAGAGCAAACAGAUGCUACUGUGAUACCAAAACAAGAAAGGGGGGGGGGAAAAAAAAAGACAAAUGGAAUAAGUAGUGGCUCAGACAAGUUAAUUAAGUGCAUUCUGCAAUUCCUAAAGCCUUUGGAUGGUCAGUUCAAGAGAUAAUAAUGUCUUAAAGGAAUUAAUGUAGGAUUUUUCUGAUCAGAGGUCAAAGAUGACACCAGAUUUUAAGGAGAUAGGUUGUGCUUUGUGAAAGAAAUGAAGAAAAAGUACUUUUUCAUCAUUGCAACCAGUGAUGGC
ensembl:lncRNA